UGCCAGCCGCCGCGGUAAUACGGAGGGGGCUAGCGUUGUUCGGAAUUACUGGGCGUAAAGCGCGCGUAGGCGGAUUGUUAAGUCGGGGGUGAAAGCCCGGGGCUCAACCCCGGAAGUGCAUUGGAAACUGGCGAACUUGAGUACGGGAGAGGAAAGUGGAAUUCCGAGUGUAGGGGUGAAAUCCGUAGAUAUUCGGAGGAACACCAGUGGCGAAGGCGGCUUUCUGGACCGAUACUGACGCUGAGACGCGAAAGCGUGGGGAGCAAACAGGAUUAGAUA
rnacentral:rRNA from 1 species